AUGAACUGCAUCUGCUUUCUACAUGAUUUUGGGUGUUAGCCGGCAUCUGCCUUGUGAUUCUGCUGAAUUAGAUAAUUCUGCGAUUGACUACCCCUGCUUUGGAUGCUGGACUCCACUGUUCACUAACUGGUGAGCAUGUAUAUGUUAUGUGCAUUGUGAUACCUUUACAUUUUGGCUUUUUAGAGCAAAUCUGUCUGGAUCUGGGAUUAUUUCUGGACUCCUUUUUGUGUGUGUUUGUCUAUACACUUUGGUCCAUACUUCCUGCACCUGGUUCCACCCCAAUCACUGCCCGUAGUGCUUCAUAGGUAUUGCUGUGGUCUAUCUGCCUACAUACUGUUGCUCUUGUGGUACUUUUGUACACUGAGUGAGCCUCAGUAGUCUGUGAUUGUGUUUGAAUAAGGAGGACACCCAAACCACGUGGUAGAUUUCCAGGCCAUGAUCAAUGUAACGGUGGCUGCGUCAGUAGAAAAGAAACCUUCGAAGGUGUUCCCGGUGAGCUCUGACCCUGCUAAAGCUGCCUAUACCACCAUGUAUGCCCAUUAUAGGGCAGAAUCUGAUGGCUCUGACUCCUACUUGCACCCCACUAAACGCCACGAGAAGGGUGAAGGAGCUUGCCUAUUUCAUCCAAGGGUAAAAAGCACAACCUGAUUCGCUCUCGCCACAUGAUCACUCCUCAGAUGAGGACAACGACCUACCCUAGUCGCUCUUGAUACUUGACGAGUGGCAAACGCCUGUCACACUGUUAAACCCCAACAUGCAGUGUUCAGGACAGCAAGGGACAAAAUAAGUAAAUAAACUAUUAUCUUGCCUUAGAAUGGCCAGACUUAAUGUUAGAUAGAGAAAAAGCAUAGUCAGUAACAAGCCGAGGUCAGGGUAACAGAGAUACAGUGAAAAGGAGAACUAGCCAGAGUCAGGUACACGGUAAUCAGACAGGAAAACAACGCAGGAAAGGGUUAAAGAAAAAAUGCAGAGUCAGUAACAAAGCCAAGGUCAAUACCAGAAUAUAAUACAAGAGAACACACUAAAGGUACUGGGACAGAAACCAAAAUAGGGCACCGUGUACAGGGCUAAGGAGGUUUAAAUACCUUUAAGUAACAUUUGAUUGCUCCACAUCAUGCCUGCGCCCCCAUGCAUGCAUAGGGGGCCGGAAUGAAAUGGACCAAUGGGAGCCAGAUAUAGCAUGCUUGUGUUUGCGAGCAGCGAUCUGUCACAGUGCCCGAUCGGCACCUCAGUGUGACUGCACCAAAUCAGUGCGGUCACACCUUCACAGUUCCCAAUCGGCACCGCGAUGUGAUCGUAUUUGAUCAGUGCAUUCACACUAAAAGAGGGAGUGGUUACUCACCUUACCUCCAUCGCCUCUACCUCUGUGCAGCUCCUAAUACAGCAGCCGGGUCCAGCAUUAUGAAGGACGCCAGUUGCUGCAAGGUGGAGCUAUAGGAUAUAUAUACCUGAAUAAUGGUAUUGAGGAUGGAUGCACUUGGUGUAGCACUUUACAAAAAUCUAUGAAUAAUAUAUAACACAAUAAUAGUGCAGAUGGUUUGAACAAUAAUAAAUAAAUAAAUCUGGAUGAGAAGAUUUUCAACUCACAAUGAAAGAGCCAAUACGUAACCUGGCUCUGGUGUAUAACGCCCUUGGAUCCUUAAGAGAGAUCCACAGCCCUCAUCUAUUUGGGGUUUAGAGAUAUAGAAGAGGGCUGUGGAUCCCCAUAAGGAUCCAAGGACGUUAUACACCAGAGCCAGGUUACUUAUUUUCUCUUUCAUUGUGAGUUGAAAAUCUUCUCAUCCAGAUUUAUUUAUUAUUAUUGUUCAAACCAUCUGCACUAUUAUUGUGUUAUAUAUUAUUCACAAUUUUUGUGCAGUGCUACACCAAGUGCAUCCAUCCUCAAUAACAUUAUCUAGGUACAUUAGAGCUCCACUUAUGCUAUAUUUGCAUAUUAGGGGCUAAAAAACUUGGUCCUCGGGAAAAGGGCAAGCUCCUUAGGGAAGCCUUGAAAGAGCUGAAUGAACAUAUAAACAUUUUCAUGCCCCUGGUGCAAUCUUCCACAAAGAAAAAAAAAGUCUUCAGGGGUAAUGUCAUCAGAGGAGUUUUCCCGCUAGCUGUUUCUGGCCGUCAGGCCCCCGCUCUUCCUGACCACAAUCCUUCUACCCAGAAGUGGGUGGUGGAAAAGGUUUCAACUACUCUAGGGGUUUGGACAGAGGUUGUAGGGCAUGCUCACGCAAAGAUUCUUCUCAGGUAAUUCCCCUUUGGUCCCUGUAAUCUCUAUUGUUCUGACUGCUGCCCACCUUUCAAAUUUUUCCAGAAAUAGGAAGACUUAUCCUCAGACAUGUGGGUGUUGCAGACCAUGUGGGGAUAUGUGAUCGAGUUUGAGGACAUCAUUGUGCAGUGGCAGCCGUCCCAAACUGUUUUGCAUCGCUAACACCCACCUUAUCUAUCAGGAGCUUCAAGAUUUAGGUUAGGUGCCAUCUAACCCACCUUGGGGGAUGGAGGCUUCUUCAGCAAUAUGUUCUUGGUCUGGAGUAUAGUCUUCGACCGCUGAUCAACCUGUUGGAUGUCGCUCACGUUGUUUACUCUGAUUUCAAGGGAUUUGCUUCAAGACAGUGACUGGUUUACACGCCUAGACUUAAAGCAUGCCUACCUCGCCAUCCCAGUUCAUGUCAACAACCAUGUACUCCUUCGAUUCCUUAAGACUUAGCUCAGCCCCUUGCUGCAUCACAAAGAUCCUAAAGCCGGUGGUCACCCAUCUUCGGGCUUACAUGGUUUGCUGCUUAAUUUAUCUGAAGGAUGAGACUGAGGCACCAAACCUAAUAUACGGUGAAUCUACUGAAAUCUCUAGGUUUCAUAGUGAAUCAGUCCAUAUCCACGCUGGUUUCCUCACAGACGGUUCAGUUCCUAGGUUCAACGUUGUGUACUCUGAGACACCUACCUCGGAAAUCUCUUCUAUUCGCAAGGAGUUUUGCAGGGUUCUCCAUGACAACUCCAUCAUGCUCUGCCUGUUCGCAUGGGUCAUGGGACUUUUGUCUUCCUCAGUUCAGGCAAUCUUCCCAGGUCCACUGCACGACUGAAGGCAAAGUUCCUCGGUAAGAAUCCCACUUAUGACCAACAGGUCCCGGUGAUGAACAAGAUGAUGAUGGAACAGCAGUGGUGGCUCGACAGCAUGCAGGCUGGAAUAGAUGGGCCAUAUUUGUCAAUCACCCAGACUUCAUACUUUUGGGCUGGGAUGCGAUAAACUGAGGUCGGUCUACCGAAGAGGUGUGGAACUCUCUACGCACAUUAAUUACUUGGAGUUUCUGGCGCGAUAGUUCACAAUCUGGCAAAGGGGAGGUUCAGCUGCUGCAUCUUGCUCCGGGUGGAAAUGUUUCCACAGUGUGUUACCUCAAUAAACUUGAUGGCAAGCGUUCCCACAUUCUGUCGGACCUCACAAAGAUGAUUUAGAUUUUUGUCUUCCCCGCAACAUCAUUGAAGACGGAAUGUCUGCCGGGAGAGACCAACCUCAUGACAAAUAGUUUCUCUCACCAUUGGAGGGACAGCGAUUGGAAGCUGAACCCUCUAAGGUUCGCUCUUAGAACAGUUACUAAAUUCGAGAAUUCUUCAGCUGGCUACCAGUCCAGAGAGCAAAGUGGUAAACCAGUUUCUUCAGACUUAGAUGGUCCGCAGAGCCUACGCUAUUUCUCCCUUCGCGAUGAUUGUGAGGGUCCUUCAUCCUGCCCGGCUGCAACAGGAAACAAUAACUCUGGUUGUUUUUUAUGUGACAGAGCCAACAUUGGUUCCCAGACUUUCUGGAAUUGUCUUGCAAAUACCCACUUCUCCUACCGUCAUACCUGAUGCUCCUCAUGGACCCGUUGCUCCUAGAAGAGCACUUUACGGGAUCCCUGGCAGGUCAGUGAACUAUCACAAGCUGCCAGCUCCUUGGCCUCUAGUACAAGACGGUAUUACCACUCCGCAUGGAAUUCAUGACGGAUUGGUGUGUGGAAUGGGGUAUAAAUCCAUUUACAGCCUGUUUCCUCAAUCAUGAACUUUCUCUCCUCAUUCGGUGUGCAUUGCGUUCGGAGGGGGAAGCGACCUCCUCUCAUGUUAUGAAAUUGAAGAAUAUGCUAUUUGUUUUAAUAGUUUAGUAUGAUUUAAGUCCUAAUUUUGUGUGUUGGUUAUUUAAGUGGUACUGCUUCGAUUCUGCUGUGAUGCGUGUAUGCUUGAGAGUCUUUGAUUGCAUUUUUUUUUCAUAUUUCACAAGUUUAUUUCCAUGACUAAGCCUCACACGUUUUCUUUUAUGUUUAACUUGCUUCUAGGGACGUGUUUGCUGCUCUGAUUUGGUUGGAAUCCUUGUUCUGCAGGAUGUUAAUUCCAGAAGUUCUUGUUUUUCUGUUCAAUGUUUUGCCUGUGAUGUCACAUAAAGACAGAUUAGAUACUUAUUUCUGAUGGGAUCUUGUUUUUUUUUUUUUUUCUAUAGGUUUCUUUCCUGCUAUGGAAUAACUAAAGAAAGAUAUGCAAUAUACUCGCCUCCGGUCAAUACUAAAAUUAAGACUAUUAGUACACAAAAGCUAGCAUUAUCUUCCAUUGCUCCAGAUGUAGCUGCUCUCAUGCCUUUACAUUCCGUUACUCCAUAUCCAGAAAUUGGAAAC